rnacentral:lncRNA from 1 species
UAUCCCAGGCGGCCUCCCUGCACCACCUGACCUCACUGGCGCCCUUGCUCCACCAGCUAGCACUCAACACGCUUUGCAGUCGUCUCCGUCUGUGUCUCUACUAAAGGGUGGUUUGUGCUGGAGGAGGGAAGGACUGCUUUUCUUCCAUCACCAUCCUUGGUCCUGCACACACCUGGCACAUGGCUGGUGCCCAAACAUGUUGAGAGAAUGAAUGAACGAAUGAGCUAUAACCUUAAGAAGUAGGAAGCCAUGGGGAGACAGACAGGAAGAGAAGAACCGGUGCUAGGCAGGCCCAGGGAGACGCGGGGACCGGAGAGUGAGCCACUGCCUGUUGGCCCCUCUUGCCUAUGGAGCUGGGCAGCUCUCUCCUAGCUGAGGGGAGGACGAGAGUGCUAAAAAACAGAGAGCCAAGGAGGCAGACCCCAAACUCCAGGAAGCAGCUGGAAACGGCGGCGAUGACAUCAUGGCCAUGGGCCCGUCACUCCCAACACCAAAGGAAGAGGAGGAUGGCGGGGAAAUCUGAGCCCCCGCCUCUGGGCUUCCAGGGAGGGAACCUGAAACCAGGAAACUCAGCCUCAACAAACCCCUGCUGAGCUGGGCAGCCAGUUCCCGAGGUGUCCCCGCCCCUCGAUCCUGGCCAGCCCCUGGUCCCCAGAACGUCA